rnacentral:rRNA from 1 species
AGUGAACGCUGGCGGUAGGCCUAACACAUGCAAGUCGAACGGCAGCACAGUAAGAGCUUGCUCUUACGGGUGGCGAGUGGCGGACGGGUGAGGAAUACAUCGGAAUCUACUUUUUCGUGGGGGAUAACGUAGGGAAACUUACGCUAAUACCGCAUACGACCUACGGGUGAAAGCAGGGGAUCUUCGGACCUUGCGCGAGUGAAUGAGCCGAUGUCGGAUUAGCUAGUUGGCGGGGUAAGGGCCCACCAAGGCGACGAUCCGUAGCUGGUCUGAGAGGAUGAUCGGCCACACUGGAACUGAGACACGGUCCAGACUCCUACGGGAGGCAGCAGUGGGGAAUAUUGGACAAAGGGCGCAAGCCUGAUCCAGCCAUACCGCGUGGGUGAAGAAGGCCUUCGGGUUGUAAAGCCCUUUUGUUUGGAAAGAAAAGCAGCAGGUUAAUACCCCGCUGUUCUGACGGUACCCAAAGAAUAAGCACCGGCUAACUUCGUG